rnacentral:tRNA from 1 species
GCCGCUGUAACUCAGUGGCAGAGCACUGGUCUUGUAAAACAGGGGUCGUGAGUUCAACCCUCACAGGAGGCA